rnacentral:rRNA from 1 species
UACCCGCUGAACUUAAGCAUAUCAAUAAGCGGAGGAAAAGAAACCAACAGGGAUUGCCUCAGUAACGGCGAGUGAAGCGGCAAAAGCUCAGAUUUGAAAUCUGGCGUCAUACUGACGUCCGAGUUGUAAUCUGUAGAGGAGUACUCGAGUGUGGAUUUGGCUUAAGUUCCUUGGAACAGGACGUCAUAGAGGGUGAGAACCCCGUUAACGGCCUAUGUCUUAUACUCAUGUGAGUCUCCUUCAACGAGUCGAGUUGUUUGGGAAUGCAGCUCUAAAUUGGUGGUAAAUUCCAUCUAAAGCUAAAUACUGGCAAGAGACCGAUAGCGCACAAGUAGAGUGAUCGAAAGAUGAAAAGAACUCUGAACAGAGAGUUAAAUAGUACGUGAAAUUGUUGAAAGGGAAGCACUUGCUACCAGACACGCUUGUGGUUGAUCAGCCUCCAUUCUUGGUGGUGCACUCGGCUGCAAGUGGGUCAGCAUCAGUUACAAUGGUGGGAUAAAGACCGAGGGAAUGUGGCUUCUUUCGGGAAGUGUUAUAGCCCUUGGUGUAAUACCAUCUAAUGUGACUGAGGCCCGCGCUUUUGGCGAGGAUGCUGGCAUAAUGGUCGUAAGUGACCCGUCUUGAAACACGGA